rnacentral:rRNA from 1 species
GCCAGCAGCCAAAUCUCCCUGCAGCCCAAGACUGGUUGCCCACUGAAGCUAAGAAGGGUUGAGCCUGGUCAGUACCUGGAUGGGAGACCUCCUGAGAAAACUAGGUUGCUGCUGGAA